GACGAACGCUGGCGGCGUGCUUAACACAUGCAAGUCGAACGGGAGUAUUGAAGAAGCUUGCUUUAGAGAUACUUUAGUGGCGGACGGGUGAGUAACGCGUGAGGAGCUGUCCUAUGCAGGGGGACAACAGUUGGAAACGACUGCUAAUACCCCAUAAGCCGAGAGGUAAAAGGAAUUAUCCGGCAGAGGAGGUACUCGCGUCCUAUCAGCUAGUAGGUGAGGUAACGGCUCACCUAGGCGAAGACGGGUAGCCGGCCUGAGAGGGCGAACGGCCACACUGGAACUGAGAUACGGUCCAGACUCCUACGGGAGGCAGCAGUGGGGAAUAUUGGGCAAUGGGGGCAACCCUGACCCAGCGACGCCGCGUGGGUGAAGAAAUCCCUCGGGAUGUAAAGCCCUGUUGUAUGGGAAGAGCAGAAGACGGUACCAUACGAGGAAGCCCCGGCAAACUACGUGCCAGCCGCCGCCGUAA
rnacentral:rRNA from 1 species